rnacentral:rRNA from 1 species
UGGCGGACGGGUGAGUAAUGUCUGGGAAACUGCCUGAUGGAAGGGGGUAACUACUGGAAACGGUAGCUAAUACCGCAUAACGUCGCAAGACCAAAGAGGGGGACCUUCGGGCCUCUUGCCAUCGGAUGUGCCCAGAUGGGAUUAGCUAGUAGGUGGGGUAAAGGCUCACCUAGGCGACGAUCCCUAGCUGGUCUGAGAGGAUGACCAGCCACACUGGAACUGAGACACGGUCCAG